UCGGGAAUUUUGGGCAAUGGGCGAAAGCCUGACCCAGCAACGCCGCGUGAAGGAUGAAGUUUUUCGGAAUGUAAACUUCGUAAGAAUAGGAAGAAUAAAUGACGGUACUAUUUGUAAGGUCCGGCUAACUACGUGCCAGCAGCCGCGGUAAUACGUAGGGACCAAGCGUUGUUCGGAUUUACUGGGCGUAAAGGGCGCGUAGGCGGCAAUUCAAGUCAGCUGUGAAAUCUCCGGGCUUAACUCGGAACGG
rnacentral:rRNA from 1 species